GGGAACGUGCCCUUCGGUUCGGAAUAACUCAGGGAAACUUGAGCUAAUACCGGAUACGCCCUUAUGGGGAAAGGUUUACUGCCGAAGGAUCGGCCCGCGUCUGAUUAGCUGGUUGGUGAGGUUAUGGCUCACCAAGGCGACGAUCAGUAGCUGGUCUGAGAGGAUGAUCAGCCACACUGGGACUGAGACACGGCCCAGACUCCUACGGGAGGCAGCAGUGGGGAAUAUUGGACAAUGGGGGCAACCCUGAUCCAGCCAUGCCGCGUGAGUGAUGACGGCCUUAGGGUUGUAAAGCUCUUUUCUCCGGGACGAUAAUGACGGUACCGGAGGAAUAAGCCCCGGCUAACUUCGUGCCAGCAGCCGCGGUAAUACGAAGGGGGCUAGCGUUGCUCGGAAUCACUGGGCGUAAAGGGCGCGUAGGCGGCUGAUUUAGUCGAGGGUGAAAGCCCGUGGCUCAACCACGGAAUGGCCUUCGAUACUGGUUGGCUUGAGACCGGAAGAGGACAGCGGAACUGCGAGU
rnacentral:rRNA from 1 species